AUGGGAUUAGCUAGUAGGUGGGGUAACGGCUCACCUAGGCGACGAUCCCUAGCUGGUCUGAGAGGAUGACCAGCCACACUGGAACUGAGACACGGUCCAGACUCCUACGGGAGGCAGCAGUGGGGAAUAUUGCACAAUGGGCGCAAGCCUGAUGCAGCCAUGCCGCGUGUGUGAAGAAGGCCUUCGGGUUGUAAAGCACUUUCAGCGGGGAGGAAGGCGAUAAGGUUAAUAACCUUGUCGAUUGACGUUACCCGCAGAAGAAGCACCGGCUAACUCCGUGCCAGCAGCCGCGGUAAUACGGAGGGUGCAAGCGUUAAUCGGAAUUACUGGGCGUAAAGCGCACGCAGGCGGUCUGUCAAGUCGGAUGUGAAAUCCCCGGGCUCAACCUGGGAACUGCAUUCGAAACUGGCAGGCUAGAGUCUUGUAGAGGGGGGUAGAAUUCCAGGUGUAGCGGUGAAAUGCG
rnacentral:rRNA from 1 species